CAGCCGCCGCGGGAAUACGUAGGUCCCGAGCGUUGUCCGGAUUUAUUGGGCGUAAAGCGAGCGCAGGCGGUUAGAUAAGUCUGAAGUUAAAGGCUGUGGCUUAACCAUAGUACGCUUUGGAAACUGUUUAACUUGAGUGCAAGAGGGGAGAGUGGAAUUCCAUGUGUAGCGGUGAAAUGCGUAGAUAUAUGGAGGAACACCGGUGGCGAAAGCGGCUCUCUGGCUUGUAACUGACGCUGAGGCUCGAAAGCGUGGGGAGCAAACAGGAUUAGAGACCCCUGUAGUCCCUGUCUCUUAUACA
rnacentral:rRNA from 1 species